rnacentral:rRNA from 1 species
CGGACGGGUGAGUAACGCGUAAGAACUUGCCCUUUAGACUGGGAUAACAGAGGGAAACUUCUGAUAAUACUGGAUAAGUUAGUAUAUCGCAUGAUAUGCAAAUGAAAGCUACGGCACUAAAGGAGAGCUUUGCGUCCUAUUAGCUAGUUGGUAAGGUAAGAGCUUACCAAGGCGAUGAUAGGUAGCCGGCCUGAGAGGGUGGACGGCCACAAGGGGACUGAGACACGGCCCUUACUCCUACGGGAGGCAGCAGGU